UUAAUAAAUUAAAAAUUGUUAUGGGUGGGUGUCGAACCUUUGACCCCUUGGUUGCAUAAUAUAUAAUAAUAAUAAAAUAAUAAUAAUAAUAAACAGAGUUCCAAUUUAUUUAUUUUUUUAAAAAAAAAACUUAUCUCCUACUCUUAGACGCAAAUCGUUCCUCUACUCUACUGACAGUUUUUUUGUUCCAAUUCUCCUCAUCUCUCCAUUAUUCCUCCUCUCUCACAACAUCUCGUCUCCUCAUCCUUAUCAAGAUCCUUCGUCGAACCCUAAAUCCUUAUACCCUCGUUCAACCUCAAUCUCCGUUGAACCCUAGGUCUUCGUUUCGGCCGACUCCAUCUCCGUCGAACCCUAAAUCUUGUGAUUUUCAGUAUACCUGGAAUGAAAAUUCUCAGCGAACAACCCUUAUAUCUCCACAUCUUUUAAUUUGAAUACUAUUUACAAAAAAUUGCAGGCCCAGUCAUGUACUCCAUAGAUUAUUUUGAUAUUGGCGAAGUCGAAGACCUACUAAGAAGAAAACAGUUGAAAACACUCCCUAAGCUUGAUUCCAGCAUAGGUAGGGGAACGUCUUUCAAUUUGAAGCUUUAACAUGAACAAGAGUUGUGUACAUUGCUAGAAGAUGUUUCCACACAAUGAGGUUGCUCGCGCCCUCGUGGACGACAUCAAGUAAUAUUGGAAAGCAUUUACUUUUAGAGAAAGUUGAUGUGGGAUACAAAGGUAAAGAAGCUCUACACCCAAAGAGAAGAUUAAAUCAAAUAGUAUAUAAAGAUCUAAUGGGAGAGUGACAUAGUUAAAUUGGAAGAGAUGGUCCACGUUGCACUCAUGUUUAGCAUUUUAGGUGACUGUUAAUUUUUUGUGGAAUUGAAUUUGCCACUAAACAUUAGUAGUAAGGCACCACAUGAAAUUAUGAAUCUUGUGACAUUAGUACUAAGGUUUUUUCCUUGUACUAUUUUGAAACCAGUGGUGUCAUAUACAUACAUGCUUAUAUGCAAAGGAUUGAUUAAGUUUGUCA